GCUGUCUGCUGCAGGCUGGAGGAGCUUAAAAGCCUUUCUAAGUAGCUGCCUGUCCUUUUAGGACUGGAUGUAGGUUUCUGCCUCUCUUUUUGGCCCUGGCAUUGCUGGCCCCAACCACAUUCCUGAUUGCCCGGGAAGAACAGCCUUUGAAAUUCAACAUCUGCUUCUGGGUAGUUGGUUGAACAAGCCCACCUGACCAAGAGAGGGAAGCACGCUAACUGUUUUCAGUUUGGACACUCUUGGGGGCUUUUUAGUAAUUGCAUGUGUUUCUGAGCAAGUGAGUGUCUUUUGUGGGUACCAGACAACAGGAUUGCUCCUCUCAACUAGGGACAGUCUGAAGAAUUUUGGUGUGCAAAUUCAUCAAGCUCACCCCAUGGAAAGAGGAAGCUCCGCUGUUUCAGUUUGGACACUCUUGGGGUUUGUUGGUUGCUGCAGCACUUGGAUUGUAUUUUGGUGAUUGUUUGUGUAUGUCAAUAUAGCCAUGGGAAGUAAGAAUUUGAUAAGCUGAUAAUCUUAUGUAAUACUGUUUGGCCUCAUAUCUUUGAAUCUGGAUAAGUUUGGCCUCUCCAUGUGCCUCGUUUUGCUGCUGAAUGGCAAAGCAGGGUGGAGUUUUGUGUAUUCAGGCUUUUAUGCUGUUGUUCAAAGCAAGGUCAGGCUUGAUUAGUACAUGAUGUUCUUCUGUGGUUUUUUCUGGCUCCAGUCAUCCUUGGAGUGUGGAGAGAUUUAGCCUUUAAAAAUCAAAAUGCCACAGAAACUGCUAUACCCAAAACUUUGGUUCACAACCUUCAUUGGAUUGCCUAUCAGGUCAAAAGAAGUUUAGCCAUGUGAACGUGUUCAUAAGCCUGUGAGUUUGUAUUGGUAUCUCAUGGCUAGAGUUCCAAGGUAAAAGUUAUUGGAUCUUUGUUUGCAUGUAUGUAUAUAUGUUUAGAUGUGUUUACAUGUAUGUAUAUUAUUUCAUAUGUUGUGUCUACCAAAUUGGCUUAUAAAUAAAAGAGCACUCCUAAAUUAAGUCCAAGCAAUUUUCAAGUUCAUGCGACUUAAGUAAAUCUUUAAUAAACAAGUUGACUUUAAAAGUACUGGUAAAAUAAAAAUUUAAAUGUCAUUGGAAUUGUCAGUAUAUAUUUUUAACUUGGUUUUAUAUUUGUGUCUGCUAGAUAUUUUGAGGUGUCAGAGUUUGGCACAGAUGAUUAUAAAUCUAUAAACCCAGCCAAUACAAAAAUAAUCUUUGUUUCUGUGAUUUUUUUUAUAAAUAGACUAAUUUAAUGUUGUUGGUUUAAUGAAUACAGCUUCAUCUUCUGAGUUAUUAGUGAAAAUACCCAUGUAUUUAACUUUAAAAUUCUUACUAAGAUGGACACUUACAAUUCACAGGUUACAAAAUAGUUAACAAGGAAAUGACUAGUUUGGUCUAAUAUCUUAGUUCUCAUAAAUAAUCUAGAUAACCUGUUUAAAAAAUGAAAGAAUUGAGUACAUGUAAAUGAAACAACUUAUAGGUUUACUUUUUGUAUAAUUUUAAAUUUAAAAUUAUUUUUGAUGUUCAUUAGGUGUCUGGGUCAUUUCUAAUUAAUAAAAGGUCAUGAUAUUGGGAAAUAUGCUUCUAAAAAUUGUGGAAUGUUCUCAUCUAUAAAAUACUAACAUCUGAUAACUCAAGACUUCUUGCUUACUAGGUUUUCACUAAAAUUUAAAGCUACUAACAAUAAGAUUUCUAGUUAGUGUAUAAUUCUGUAUAAAAAAUAUGCCAAAAAUAUGUGUUCUUAUUAACAAAAAUAAUAAUUUUGUCUAAUUCAGCAGUUAUCUAAAGGUUGAUUCAAAUUAUGGACUAUGGUAAAUUUUUGUCCUAAAAUAAAAUAAUUGGUUAUUUUAAAAAUUAGGACAAAACAGAAAGUCCAAGCAUGUCCAAUUUAGUUUUUUUUCCCUGUUUCUCUGUGUCUAUCUUCAUGCACAUACAGAGAAAAUAGAAAAUUGAAAAAAUUUAUGUAAUAAAAUACUCUUGAAAAUCCAAUAAAAAAUUAGAGAAAUUUGGCUAAUUAAUAUUGCUCAUAGUUAAAGCUAUUAGCAUUCAUGAAGUUAAAAUAAAAAAUAUUAUACAAAUUACAUUUGAAAUUUGGCAAUCAUUUUUUAAUAUAGUUAAGCAUAGAGCCAGAUUUAGCAUGGAGCCAAAUUUCACAUAGAUGUUUGCAUUGCUUUGUUUCACACCGUAUCUGCUAUUCUGCAUGUACUAAAGUACUUACCAUUCACAUGUCUGAAAUAUGUUUCUUAAUUGCAUGAAGUGUAUAGUGGUGUUAGUGGACUUACAGACAUUAACUUGCAUAUCAAUAAAAAAAAAAUCCAUCCUGUGUUUUUUUUUUUUAGGCCCUAGGUAACACUAGCCUCCAAGGUAAACUGAGUAGGUGAAAAAUUGGGAGUUGAUUUACUGUUUAUUUGUUUUUGCUUCUAAUCUUAAUUUAUUUGAUGUUUGUCCUCCUUUGGAUUUUACUUAUAUAUACACAUAUAAAACCAUCUAUGUUUUUUAGUUUCUAAUGGAAGGCUUAUAUUUGGUUCUAUGAUUAGUCAUUUCAUUUCCUAUGCAUUUCCAACAAUUCAUCAUUUGCUCUAUUUACCUAAAAUACCUAAGCUACCUUGCUCAAGCCAUUUAAAAUCGGAUUGACUUUGCUUAUCUCUUAUAUAGAGAGCUGUUAAGUUUCCUGGCAUAAAAAUAAAGGAUUUAUAAGUUCUGAACAGAAAUAGUUCAUUAUAUAUUUUUUAUUUAGAAAACUAGGUAACAGUAGAAAUGUUUAAGUGGUGUUUAUUUCCAUGGUAACUCAAUUCUAUCAAUAAUUUGGGUUGGCUUAAGAUCUUUUCCUUCAAAUCAUGAAGGAAAACUUUGAUGUGGGUACUAAGUUUUAAUAUUCAGGAAAGAUUGUCCUUGUCAUUAUCGAAAUUAUAUUGAUUGGGAUUGCUUUCAAACUACUUUAGUUGUGCCUACCAUUGUUAAAAUUAAGUGACAUUCACUUGGAUUAAGUAGCAGUUUAAAAAAACAUGUUCUAGUGAUUUUUGAACCUAAGCUUUUAUCAAAUAUGAGAAUAUUCUAUUGAUGUUUGGACCCAAGUCUUCUAUCACUGUUGGGUUUUCAUAUGUGUACUUGAAAACACAUGUUGCGCUGGUUUAAAGAUUCUAGUGGUAAAAGUUACCUAAUCAGCCAUCAGUACUAUAUGUGAAAACCAAUCUUGGAAAUGUGUGACAAUACACUUUUAAAAUAGCUGAACAGGAAUUAUUGUGUGUUUGUUCUUACUUUGCCCUUGUUUUGUUGUGUACUACUGAAGUGAAAGGAGAUUAUUCGUCCUCAUACUGAACUUCCAAAGCUGAUAUUUGCAUUUGCCAUUUUUUUAUGGAGAGAAGUUAAUGAUCUUACUUUGAUAAGUUUGCCAAAGGACUUAUCCCAUUUUUAUGCUUUUGGUAUAGUUCUGUAACUAGAAUGCUAGCAAUUAGAUAUAUGCAAGAAGUAACCUAACCACUUUAAUAUAAUAGCUUGAAGUGCUGCAACUGGACACCAAAUGACAGUAUUUUAAUUUGUGACAUUGUUGGAGAGAAUGAUAGGAAUUUCUGCAGUAAAAAUGUCCUAUUUACUAAUCCUUAUGCUGUUAAGUUGCAAGGCUUUGACUCCUAGGUUUGAAAAAGGCAUCAACUCCUGAUAAAUCUUGAACAGUGAUGCCAAUCAAAGCCUUGUCUUUAGACGUGGGAGAAGAUGAUAAUAAAAAUGAACUGCUUUCAUGAGACACAAAGCCAGAAAUGAAAACUAUUCAAUCCUUCUAGGCUCAGGAACUAUUGUAGAAGAGGUGGGUGCAUGAGAAUGUAAGGGCCAAUUUUGAGGGACAAAAUUAGUUCAGAAUAAUAUACCAAGUGCACUGAUUUAAGGCCAGCACCUAGACCCAUGUGGCAGAAUAAGAACAUUUUCUUAGAGCAUUGAUUUUCUCUGCAAUAGAAAAUUACAAAAAUAUGAAAGGUUAAGGAGAUCUUACUUUAUGGUCAAAUUACUUUAAAAUGUGAGGUGGUGUUUACUUUUCUUUGGAUUAUACUUAAAUAAAUGUAUUUUUAAUGUUUGUCUCAGUAUUGUAUGUGAUUCCUGAAAUUCUCAUAUGUAUUAAUACAUGUUGUAAUUAUUAUGAUUAUUAUGUUAAAUUUUUGUAUGCCACAGAAAUAACCAAAUUUCCUUGUCAAUUGUGUUUGUCCUAAGACUUUUGUCAUCCACAAUUCUUUGGCUUUGAUUCUUCUCAAAAAGCAACUUAUAAGCAGCUAUAGUCCAAGACUUGCUUCUUUGGGGGAGUUCAUGAAAAGGACUUCUGAAUGUGGGUUUCUGAUAACUUUGGAGAUUGUGCCAUUGGACUAAAGAGAAAACUUCCAGGACUUGAUUUAAAAGGCCAAUGUGUUUAUAAAGAUUGAUAACCCAAUAUGAACAGAGCAGGAGUUGAUUGUGUGGACUGAACUAAUGGAGGAAAGAAAUAAUUUUUAUAGCUUUUUUGAAACAUUGCUGAGUCUGUUUUGUUUUUCAGAGCCUGGAGGAAAUGUUCUUUUGAGUUAUUUAUAGCCUUUAACAACUGAGGAGAGUACACUCUUUUUAGAAGAAUUUUAGGCAUAUUUCUCUCUUCCUGAUUUAUCCAGAAUUCAGAAACUAUUUGUGAAUAUUCUGAAUUCAUGGAACUGCAGUUGUUUGCAUAAGUUCAAUAAAAAUCUGUUUUCUUUUAUAACAAGACAAAGUUGGAGGAAAUGGUUAUUUUCCCUAGGCUUUGACUGAAAUGGCAUGUUUUCAGAUAUAAGCAGACUGUUUGGAGAAAUUGAUACUAACUUUAUACAGCCAAUGAGAACCCCUUAGGACUGGCCUGGCACUUCGUCUACACAGUUCCUUUGCAGGGUUCCUUGUCUGUGGUUAGUGGAGAGCAUCACUUUCUGACAGGGCCAAGGAAUCUCAAGUUGCUGAGGCCUGAAGAAAAGAGUUCACCCAAUUCAUACAGGUAUCUGCAGGUGCAGAUGGAUCCUUGCCUGUGCUGAAGAUGCCUGUGGAGGUCAAGUCUGAUCCUUGGUUCCAGCAAAGCCAAUUUAGGAGAGCCUAUUUGGACAAUGGAGAGCCUAUUACUGAACUUUUUGUGGGUAAUCAGGCCAAGUACAGUGGGACUGAAGCUUAUUUUGCAAGUAGACUGCAAAAUAGAUCUAUCUUUGGUGGAAGUGGGGAACUGGAGAGAGAGAGAGAUUAUGUUUUAGAAGAAAAUUAUAGUAUAAGAUUAACCUCUGAUUUGCUUAUUGCCCAUAUUCACCCGUGAUGUGUAGAGUUGUCCACACUGCCCCUCCCCAGCUUGAGGCAGACAGAAAUAUUGAUGACCAGAUUCUCCAUGAUUCAGGAAUUGAUAAAUAGAAAGGGGGGCACUGAAACCAGCUCAAUUGUCCCAUGGUACUAAUGUUUAUGGUCUCCUUUGAAUAAACAUAAAAAUCAAUCCCCAGUCUUGAA
rnacentral:lncRNA from 1 species